AGUGAACGCUGGCGGUAGGCCUAACACAUGCAAGUCGAACGGCAGCACAGUAAGAGCUUGCUCUUACGGGUGGCGAGUGGCGGACGGGUGAGGAAUACAUCGGAAUCUACUUUUUCGUGGGGGAUAACGGAGGGAAACUGACGCUAAUACCGCAUACGACCUACGGGUGAAAGCAGGGGAUCUUCGGACCUUGCGCGAUUGAAUGAGCCGAUGUCGGAUUAGCUAGUUGGCGGGGUAAGGGCCCACCAAGGCGACGAUCCGUAGCUGGUCUGAGAGGAUGAUCAGCCACACUGGAACUGAGACACGGUCCAGACUCCUACGGGAGGCAGCAGUGGGGAAUAUUGGACAAUGGGCGCAAGCCUGAUCCAGCCAUACCGCGUGGGUGAAGAAGGCCUUCGGGUUGUAAAGCCCUUUUGUUGGGAAAGAAAAGCAGCAGGUUAAUACCCCGCUGUUCUGACGGUACCCAAAGAAUAAGCACCGGCUAACUUCGUG
rnacentral:rRNA from 1 species